rnacentral:misc_RNA from 1 species
GAUGAAGAACGCAGCGAAAUGCGAUAAGUAAUGUGAAUUGCAGAAUUCAGUGAAUCAUCGAAUCUUUGAACGCAUAUUGCGCCCGUCAGUAUUCUGGCGGGCAUGCCUGUUCGAGCGUCAUUACGCCCCUCAAGUCCCCUGUGGACUUGGUGUUGGGGAUCGGCGAGGCUGGUUUUCCAGCACAGCCGUCCCUUAAAUUAAUUGGCGGUCUCGCCGUGGCCCUCCUCUGCGCAGUAGUAAAACACUCGCAACAGGAGCCCGGCGCGGUCCACUGCCGUAAAACCCCCCAACUUUUUAUAGUUGACCUCGAAUCAGGUAGGACUACCCGCUGAACUUAAGCAUAUCAAUAAGCGGAGGA